rnacentral:rRNA from 1 species
GAUGAACGCUGGCGGCGUGCCUAAUACAUGCAAGUCGAGCGAACAGACGAGGAGCUUGCUCCUCUGACGUUAGCGGCGGAAGGGUGAGUAACACGUGGAUAACCUACCUAUAAGACUGGGAUAACUUCGGGAAACCGGAGCUAAUACCGGAUAAUAUAUUGAACCGCAUGGUUCAAUAGUUAAAGACGGUUUUGCUGUCACUUAUAGAUGGAUCCGCGCCGCAUUAGCUAGUUGGUAAGGUAACGGCUUACCAAGGCAACGAUGCGUAGCCGACCUGAGAGGGUGAUCGGCAACACUGGAACGGAGACGAGGUCCAGACUCCUACGGGAGGCAGCAGUAGGGAAUCGUACGCAAUGGGAGAAAGCCUGACGGAGCAACGCCGCGUGAGUGAUGAAGGUCUUCGGAUCGUAAAACACUGUUAUUAGGGAAGAACAAAUGUGUAAGUAACUAUGCACGUCUUGACGGUACCUAAUCAGAAAGCCACGGCUAACUACGUG